rnacentral:rRNA from 1 species
UACCCGCAGCUCAAGUGGUGGUCAUUAUUAUUGGGCCUAAAGCGUCCGUAGCUGGCCUGUUAGAUGCCUGGGUAAAUCGAUGCGCUCAGCGUAUCGAAUUCCGGGUAGACCGGCAGGCUCGAGACCGGGAGAGGUGUAGGCUACUCGAGGGGUAGGGGUAAAAUCCUGUAAUCCUUCGGGGAGGACCAGUGGCGAAGGCGCUACACUAGAACGGCUCUGACAGUGAGGGACGAAGCCCUGGGGCGCAAACCGG